rnacentral:rRNA from 1 species
UCGAGAAUCUUCCGCAAUGGACGCAAGUCUGACGGAGCGACGCCGCGUGAUCGAUGAAGUGCUUCGGUAUGUAAAGAUCUUUUAUGGGGGAAGAAGUUUAUUGACGGUACCCCAUGAAUAAGGGCCUGCAAAACUCGUGCCAGCAGCAGCGGUAAUACGAGUGGCCCAAGCGUUAUCCGGAAUUAUUGGGCGUAAAGGAUGUGUAGGUGGUUGUAUUAGUCUAGUGUCUAACCUCUCUGCUCAACAGGGAGCCAGCACAGGAAACGGUACGACUAGAGUAUGUUAGGGGUAAGCGGAACUCAUAGUGUAGGGGUGAAAUCCGUUGAUAUUAUGGGGAACACCAAAAGCGAAGGCAGCUUACUGGAACAUUACUGACACUGAAACAUGAAAGCGUGGGUAGCGAAUGGGAUUAGAUACCCUUGUAGUCCCUGAGCGGGCUGGCAAGGCGCAU